CCUACGGGAGGCAGCAGUGGGGAAUUUUGGACAAUGGGCACAAGCCUGAUCCAGCAAUGCCGCGUGCAGGAUGAAGGCCUUCGGGUUGUAAACUGCUUUUGUACGGAACGAAACGGUGAGCUCUAAUACAGUUUGCUAAUGACGGUACCGUAAGAAUAAGCACCGGCUAACUACGUGCCAGCAGCCGCGGUAAUACGUAGGGUGCGAGCGUUAAUCGGAAUUACUGGGCGUAAAGCGUGCGCAGGCGGUGAUGUAAGACAGAUGUGAAAUGCCCGGGCUCAACCUGGGACCUGCAUUUGUGACUGCAUCGCUAGAGUACGGUAGAGGGGGAUGGAAUUCCGCGUGUAGCAGUGAAAUGCGUAGAUAUGCGGAGGAACACCGAUGGCGAAGGCAAUCCCCUGGACCUGUACUGACGCUCAUGCACGAAGACGGUGGGAGGACGAACGAGGAGUAGUAUACCGUACGGUACGUACCGACCGACCCUAACCGACUAGUACUAACUAGGUUGGUUGGGUUCGUUC
rnacentral:rRNA from 1 species